AGUAAACGCUGGCGGUAGGCCUAACACAUGCAAGUCGAACGGCAGCACAGUAAGAGCUUGCUCUUACGGGUGGCGAGUGGCGGACGGGUGAGGAAUACAUCGGAAUCUACUUUUUCGUGGGGGAUAACGUAGGGAAACUUACGCUAAUACCGCAUACGACCUACGGGUGAAAGCAGGGGAUCUUCGGACCUUGCGCGAUUGAAUGAGCCGAUGUCGGAUUAGCUAGUUGGCGGGGUAAAGGCCCACCAAGGCGACGAUCCGUAGCUGGUCUGAGAGGAUGAUCAGCAACACUGGAACUGAGACACGGACCAGACUCCUACGGGAGGCAGCAGUGGGGAAUAUUGGACAAUGGGCGCAAGCCUGAUCCAGCCAUACCGCGUGGGUGAAGAAGGCCUUCGGGUUGUAAAGCCCUUUUGUUGGGAAAGAAAAGCAGCAGGUUAAUACCCCGCUGUUCUGACGGUACCCAAAGAAUAAGCACCGGCUAACUUCGUG
rnacentral:rRNA from 1 species